rnacentral:misc_RNA from 1 species
AUAAUCAGGGCCAAUAGGCAG